ensembl:lncRNA
GCAAGAGCUUGACCACACACUCUCCUCUCAACAAGUGUAACUAUCAUUAUGCCCACCUUAUAGUCAGGAACAUGGGCUAGGGAGGGAAGCAAUGCCAUCAUUUGACACAAUGCUGGCAAAGUCAGACUCUGCAAACUACAUGGGCUUCUUUUCCAAACAGCCUUUGCCAUCUCAGCUCCACAAACCCCACAAGCAACACAAACCCCACAACCAGGAGUGAUCACCCUGAGCCUGGCAUCCAGCUCCAGGAGGCCACACCCAUCGCUUAGGAUUAGGGUUCCUGUUUAGAGCCAGUCCUGGUAGACUAACCACAGGGGACGGAUGAGGGAAAUUAAGCAGACUACCACUUGGGAAUAGCCGAAGCCAGGAGAUGGCUAAGUCAAUAAAGCACUUGAUGCAGAAGUCUGAGUACCCGAGUUCAGCCCCUAGAACUCACAUGAAAAUGUCAGAGUGCUGCUGACUGACUUUCCCUUCUCUGUCAUCUUGGCUGUGCCUCAUGGGACCCACAUAUCUGAUGGGUCGGUCACCAAAGAGAGCCCCCAGCUCAGGACUGCAGCCUGGAGCGCUGACCUAAAGGUCACUGUCUGGGUUGCUGAGCUCCUGGAUGAACUUGCUGCCUGCCUCUUCUGCAUCACUUUCCCUAAUUUCCGGAGCCAGGGAGGGAGAGAUGACAUCACCCAGGCUCCUCCAAACCUGGGCUCUCUUGGGUGUGGAACUGUCUCUGCACUGUCUCAGAUAUCUGUGCGGCUUAAACCCAAGCAGAC